UAGGGAAUCUUCCGCAAUGGACGCAAGUCUGACGGAGCAACGCCGCGUGAGUGAAGAAGGAUUUCGGUUCGUAAAACUCUGUUGUUAGUGAAGAACAGCGCAUAGAGUAACUGUUAUGCGUGUGACGGUAUCUAACCAGAAAGCCACGGCUAACUACGUGCCAGCAGCCGCGGUAAUACGUAGGUGGCAAGCGUUGUCCGGAUUUAUUGGGCGUAAAGCGAGCGCAGGCGGUCAAUUAAGUCUGAUGUGAAAGCCCCCGGCUCAACCGGGGAGGGUCAUUGGAAACUGGUUGACUUGAGUGCAGAAGAGGAGAGUGGAAUUCCAUGUGUAGCGGUGAAAUGCGUAGAUAUAUGGAGGAACACCAGUGGCGAAGGCGACUCUCUGGUCUGUAACUGACGCUGAGGCUCGAAAGCGUGGGUAGCAAACAGG
rnacentral:rRNA from 1 species